CUUCACUGAAUUAUAGCUUCA
rnacentral:siRNA from 1 species